rnacentral:rRNA from 1 species
UACGGAGGGCGCAAGCGUUUUUCGGAAUCAUUGGGCGUAAAGCGCACGUAGGCGGAUUUGUUAGUCAGGGGUGAAAUCCCGGGGCUCAACCUCGGAAUUGCCUUUGAUACUGCAAGUCUCGAGUCCGGAAGAGGUGAGUGGAAUUCCUAGUGUAGAGGUGAAAUUCGUAGAUAUUAGGAAGAACACCAGUGGCGAAGGCGGCUCACUGGUCCGGUACUGACGCUGAGGUGCGAAAGCGUGGGGAGCAAACAGG